UCCUACGGGAGGCAGCAGUAGGGAAUCUUCCGCAAUGGACGAAAGUCUGACGGAGCAACGCCGCGUGAGUAAUGAAGGCUUUCGGGUCGUAAAACUCUGUUGUUAGGGAAGAACAAGUGCUAGUUGAAUAAGCUGGCACCUUGACGGUACCUAACCAGAAAGCCACGGCUAACUACGUGCCAGCAGCCGCGGUAAUACGUAGGUGGCAAGCGUUAUCCGGAAUUAUUGGGCGUAAAGCGCGCGCAGGUGGUUUCUUAAGUCUGAUGUGAAAGCCCACGGCUCAACCGUGGAGGGUCAUUGGAAACUGGGAGACUUGAGUGCAGAAGAGGAAAGUGGAAUUCCAUGUGUAGCGGUGAAAUGCGUAGAGAUAUGGAGGAACACCAGUGGCGAAGGCGACUUUCUGGUCUGUAACUGACACUGAGGCGCGAAAGCGUGGGGAGCAAACAGGAUUAGAUACCCUGGUAGUCCACGCCGUAAACGAUGAGUGCUAAGUGUUAGAGGGUUUCCGCCCUUUAGUGCUGAAGUUAACGCAUUAAGCACUCCGCCUGGGGAGUGCGGCCGCAAGGCUGAAACUCAAAGGAAUUGACGGA
rnacentral:rRNA from 1 species